rnacentral:rRNA from 1 species
ACGAGAUGUGCGAGCGUUGUUCGGAAUCACUGGGCUUAAAGGGUGCGUAGGCGGUCUGGUAAGUCAGGGGUGAAAUACCUCGGCUCAACCGAGGAAUUGCUUUUGAUACUGUCAGACUUGAGGGCGAGAGGGGCAAGUGGAAUUCCAGGUGUAGCGGUGGAAUGCGUAGAUAUCUGGGAGAACGCCAAUGGCGAAGGCAGCUUGCUGGCUCGUUUCUGACGCUGAGGCACGAAAGCUAGGGGAGCAAACAG